GCAGGAGGGGGAAGUAAAGGGGUGUCUGCUGUUGUUUGACAUUUACAAGUCUCUUAGUGAAAUGCAUGAUGCACAUCCUUUUGAGUGUGUGCGCAGCAAGUGUAAUUAGAACACGGCAGGCAUGUGUUUGUCUUUGUGUUGUUGUAUGGUGGAGGUAUCAAGGACAAGUGCAUUAAUGAGCACCUGGAGAGGAACAGCUUGUGUCUCCUGGUUAGUGUGACCGCGAGCAGGGCGCAGACUCCUUCACUGACUCAGAUGACGUGACUGAUGGAGGGGGAGGUUUCUGUCAGAUCUGGGGCACUCCCAGGAGCUGCAGUUUGUCUCGGCUGACAACAACGCUCACCAAAGGGGCCCCCAUCCCACACAUCAGCUGGAAAGGUCCUCCCGACUGCCUGUAUCAGAGGUGCCAUGAUCCAGUGUGACUUGAUGCACCAGGACAGGCUGGGACCCCUCAGCAGGCCCACAAUGGACAGCUGUGAUUACUGCUGACAAUAAUUUAUGGUCCCCUCUGAUUGAAAACAUGAGAGCUGGAGAUAGAAAGGCUGGUGUUGAGUCAAGGCACCACCUUAAGAUAUAAAACUGAGGCCGCAGCUGCUGUCAGAAGCAGGACUCCUGCCAAGCUCUGCAGGCCUUCUGCCCAUCCAGACAAACACAAGCUCUCAUUUUGCUCUCUUUACUCUUCCUUUAUAUUUUCCUUCCUUCUUUUCUUUGCCUGGUUAUAGUCCUCCUCUUCAUUGUCUCGCUCGUAAUUUUCUAUCUUGCUAAUACUUCUCCUAUGUUUUAUUCUCUAUUUUCAGCUUCAACAACCUAGAUGUCCGUCAUAGUAUGGAGGUACGCCGUUUGUAGUAUUUGUCUGAAAUAAAAGAGGAACAAAUACUUAUCCACCCUGGCUGAUCAGGUGUCUCUACUGUGAGCUUUUCCAGCCCCGAGAUUACCACGCUAAUCCUAACAAUAGCAAUGUGCAGCUGGUUUGAACAACUAUCUGCACCAUUGUUUAUGUUGUCAUCCCUGCUGGAUCGCACUCCUGAGGAGUAACCAUUUUAGUGGAUUUGCAUUUACUAUUUCAAUGCCACAUCCAGGGAUGAAGAGCUCUUCUUCUAAAACGAUGUAUGUUCUGGGUAUUAUGUUCUAUUUCUAAAGGAGGCCCUGAACUACAGAGAAGGGGUAGCAAAGCUCUUGUGGAUAUGAAACUGAAAUUAAACAACCCCUAGAUUGAAUUGAAAAAGACUGAAAUGGAAUCAGAUGGAAUGGAAAUAUUUGCUAACAGGUCAUCUCAAAAUCUGCUGUCAUUAUAUUGAAUAGAAAACUGACUAUGUUUAAUACAUGUUUUGAAUACAUCUAUCGCACGUAAUUUUAUAUUUGUACAAUGGUUUGUACUAAUUCUAGUGAUGUAACAAUUAUAACUAUAUUAGAUCUAUAUAUCAGCUCUAAUAUUCUAAUAUGUAAUGGUGCCAAGUAGUUUGAGUUUCAAAAAUGUGUUUUAGUAAAGGCUUAUUCUUGAACUCAAAACUGAGUCUCUCUACCAGUCUGUUGACUACUUGUAAAAAUAGCACCCCAAUCUAAGGACGGAAUAUGUUUCCUCUCAGAGCACAAUGGUUUGCAGCAGCCUCAGAGUUAUGUCAACAAGAGAGGGAAUGGAAUCCCCCCAAAAUUCAAGGCGCACAACUUUGUCAUAGUUCAAAAAAAGCAUCUUUAUUCACAUCACUACAUGAUUAAUAACGAAAGACAAAUGUGUAUUAGCUGCAUAGUGGUAAUGAAAUAAACAGCCAUAUCCGUUAACCUGUCCAGUAUAUAUUCUCUCUUUUGUCCAGUGUGUGCUGGGACAGAAUCCAACCUCCCACGACUGUGAUGGAGACACAAAAAUCACCAAAUUCAUAUAAAGAUAUAUGGCAUUCAAAAUGGUUCCUUUAAGUUACAUUCGUUCUCCUUUGGUGGGUGUGUUGGGGGUGAAAACCAAUUCCACUGGAUGAUGAGCAGUGAUGUGGGCCUAUAUAAACAGGGUCAUCAGUGCACUAUGGAGCCCAUGUUCCACCUUUAAACACAUUUACAUUUAACUUUGUGGUGUUUUCUCAGAACUACCAGGACACAUAUCUGCAUUCAGCUGCAGUUAUAACUGGAUGGUUAAAACACUACUACUUUCCACUUUAAACAAUGUGUUGCUAUGAAUUGGCAGCACUGAAUGUGACCUGCUGAUGGCUCUCUGGAGAGUGGGAGGAAACCAUAUUAACCCAGAUGAACACAGGAACUCUAAACAGAAAAGGCCGGGGUUAAGAAUCAACACAUGGAUCUUAUUGCACCAGUGGCACCAGUGCCAGUUUGUGACCUCAGACAAAUAAGGCACAUUUAUAAUCAAAAAUUCUUUGAGCUCAACCAUAAUAAUAUAUUUUCUACUGUGUCAAAAACAACUCACUUUCACAGCAUUUAAAGAAAGUCUGUAAUUCAGAGAAAUGAAAUUACAGGACAGGUUUAGCAUCGGCCCACUGACAGUAACAUAGAAAUGUAUGUCAGUGUCAGUAGUUCAUUGCUUUAAAUGAGACACAUAUUGUAUAUUGUAAGAUUUAGUAUACGAAUGCAAUGAUAAUAGAUGUACCUAUGAUGAUACUGUGUUUGAACAUGAAUAUAGCAUCUAUUUAGUAUAUACAAUCCCUGUUGAUUUUGUACACGUCUCUUUAAAGGGACAUUGUGUAGUGUUUUAAGUAUUUUAUUAGCUAAAAUCAAUGUCUUCAUUCAUAAAUGUGUCCUCAUUGGUGUAAAAUUACCUCUGCCAAUGAUCUGACUUAACCUCGUAAGCGAAGAAUUUCUUAUCUGUAUUUACAUUGGAGGGGCAAGUCCAUGGAGGCUUCCAUGUCGUUCCGCCAUUUUGAAAAACUAUAAUCGCCGAGAGGGACAUAACGCACUAGCCUACCUGUCUAGCCAAUCCACAACGCGUUUUCGUUCAGAGCCAGCGUCACGUGACUGAAACCAGCUAUAAUGAAGAAGGAAAUCAGUGAGAUAGCUUGUCACUGCCCCGGCACAUUUAAAAGUCUGCACUGCACUUUAGUUAAUAAUGGAGGAUCAUACUUAUGCCGACCACAGGAGAAGGAAAAUCCUCGUCGCCAAAAAAACGAAAAAGGGAAUUAAAAAGGCAACAUGACCGGCGAAUUCAAAAAA